rnacentral:rRNA from 1 species
GGAUCAUUACAAGAAGCCGAAAGGCUACUUCAAACCAUCGCGAACUCGUCCAAGUUGCUUCGGCGACGCGGCACCCCUUAACGGGGGCGCCGCAGCCCUGCCUCUCCGGAGGUUCGGGGCGCCCGCCGGAGGUACGAAACUCUGUAUUAUAGUGGCAUCUCUGAGUAUAAAACAAAUAAGUUAAAACUUUCAACAACGGAUCUCUUGGUUCUGGCAUCGAUGAAGAACGCAGCGAAAUGCGAUAAGUAAUGUGAAUUGCAGAAUUCAGUGAAUCAUCGAAUCUUUGAACGCACAUUGCGCCCGGUAGUACUCUACCGGGCAUGCCUGUUCGAGCGUCAUUUCAACCCUCAAGCCCUGCUUGGUGUUGGGGCCCUACGGCUGCCGUAGGCCCUGAAAGGAAGUGGCGGGCUCGCUACAACUCCGAGCGUAGUAAUUCAUUAUCUCGCUAGGGAGGUUGCGGCGUGCUCCUGCCGUUAAAGACCCAUCUUUAACCAAGGUUGACCUCGGAUCAGGUAGGAAUACCCGCUGAACUUAAGCAUAUCAAUAAGCGGAGGAAAAGAAACCAACAGGGAUUGCCCUAGUAACGGCGAGUGAAGCGGCAACAGCUCAAAUUUGAAAUCUGGCUUCGGCCCGAGUUGUAAUUUGUAGAGGAUGCUUUUGGUGAGGUGCCUUCUGAGUUCCCUGGAACGGGACGCCAGAGAGGGUGAGAGCCCCGUAUAGUCGGCCACCGAUCCUUUGUAAAGCUCCUUCGACGAGUCGAGUAGUUUGGGAAUGCUGCUCAAAAUGGGAGGUAUAUCUCUUCUAAAGCUAAAUAUAGGCCAGAGACCGAUAGCGCACAAGUAGAGUGAUCGAAAGAUGAAAAGCACUUUGAAAAGAGGGUUAAAUAGCACGUGAAAUUGUUGAAAGGGAAGCGCUUGUGACCAGACUUGUGCCGGGCUGAUCAUCCAGUGUUCUCACUGGUGCACUCGACCCGGCUCAGGCCAGCGUCGGUUUUCGUGGGGGGAUAAAAGCUUCGGGAACGUGGCACCUUCGGGUGUGUUAUAGCCCGUUGCUUAAUACCUCCGUGGAGACCGAGGU